AUGGCAGUUGACGGGGCGACCAAGGAGAAGAAGAAAAAGAAAAAAGUAAAGUUGGAGGACGCUCAGGAUACAGGAGAUGCAAAUGUGCCGGCGUGUCAUGAUGUGUCCGUCCAGACUGUUGUUAAAAAAGAAGAACCUCUGAUCAUAAACAUCAGAGAUGGAGAGAAGCGGGGGAGCGAUGCAGCUGAGAAGAAGAAAAAGAAGAAAAAGAAAAUGAAGGAGGACGUGGACAGCCCUGUGUGUUGCAAUGCAGCUGUUCAGACUACCGUCAAAACAGAGAGCUCAGAUAUAAACAUCAGUGAUGCUCCUGAGAAGACAAAGAAGAAGAAAAAUAAGAAGAUAAAGGAGGACGCAGAACGGAUCCAAGAGGAAGGGAUCGUCAGUGAGGAUGGAGAUCAUUUAGUGUCCAAGAAAAAGAAAGCCAAGAAACAGGGGUAUGAAGAAGAGGUGGAAGGUAUAAAAAAGAAAAAGAAGAAAAAGGAGGCAGAGGUCAAAGAAGAAGAGGCUGAUUUGGGACACUGUGUGGAGAUGGUCAAAAAGAAGAAAAAGAAGAGAAAAAUCGAUGAUGUGGCAGAACGAGAGCAAAACACAGAAUCGGCAGAUGGACAGAUAAAGAAGAAAAGAAAAAAGCAGAAAGAAGCAGACGCAUGUGAAGGGGUGGAGCAAAAGGCGAAGAAGAAAAAGAAGAAGAAAUCUAAAGCAGAGGAGGAGCCUGAUGAGAUCAGCUCAAAGAAAAAAAGCAAAAAGCUGAAGAAGAAAUUAAAGAGCGUGGAUGAAGGUGAGAGUCGUCCUCACGCCAACGGAGGACAGGAGAGACCAUCGGACGAGAAGAUGAAGAAGAAAGUCAAGGAGAGGACUGAUGAUGUCAUUGAGGUCCAGGAGGAACCGGCGGGAAAGAAGGGGAGGAAAGACGACAGAAACAAAACCCCAGAAAAGAUUAAAAAGAAAAAACCUAAAGAGGAGCGUCAUGAGACCGCCGUGGAGAGAGCGAAUAAAGCCUCUGAUGUUGUGUUCCUGUCAGCAAAGCCUGGAAAUCAGGAUGAAGUUUCUAUAGAUCAGGUACAGCACCAGCUGAUCAAUGAUACUUUACCACAUACUGUGUACACCGUAAAUAAGUAA
rnacentral:lncRNA from 12 species